rnacentral:pre_miRNA from 1 species
CACGUACUUCCUCUGUCUAAUAAAAGAUGUCUCAAGUUUAUCAAAAUUUAGAUGUAUCUAGACAUAACUUAGUGUAUAGAUGCAUUUAAAUUUAGUCAAAAUUGAGACAUCUUUUGUUGGACGGAGAAUACAAU